rnacentral:rRNA from 1 species
GAUCCUGGCUCAGGAUGAACGCUAGCUACAGGCUUAACACAUGCAAGUCGGAGGGGCAGCAUGGUCUUAGCUUGCUAAGGCCGAUGGCGACCGGCGCACGGGUGAGUAACACGUAUCCAACCUGCCGUCUACUCUUGGACAGCCUUCUGAAAGGAAGAUUAAUACAAGAUGGCAUCAUGAGUUCACAUGUUCACAUGAUUAAAGGUAUUCCGGUAGACGAGUGGGG